UGCCUUUCUCACGAGGUACAUCCUCUGUGCAAAGCCCAAAAGGAUUUUUAAUAUAUUUAAAGAAAGAGAGGUUUUUGUUAGAUCUGAUGGUGAUUUACUCUGUUUGUGCCAUUUCCUCUUCAUUAUACGAAUGAAGGUUUUGUCGUCUUGUAGUUUUGCGCCUUCACUAGAAGAAGGAUUGUUGAAUUGUUUUGUGGCUCCGGUCGUUGUACUUUUCGCUCAAGUAUGUCCACCGAUGCGAGCUCCUUGCAGGCGUGCUACGCCGAGAGUGAUCGGUUAAUUUGUCUCGAGGUUAGUUUUUCUUAGACUCUAGAGUAUAAGGCCAGCAAAUUUUCCCAUCGCCC
rnacentral:lncRNA from 1 species